rnacentral:rRNA from 1 species
GAGUGGCGAACGGGUGAGUAACACGUGGGUAACCUGCCCAUCAGAAGGGGAUAACACUUGGAAACAGGUGCUAAUACCGUAUAACACUAUCUUCCGCAUGGAAGAAAGUUGAAAGGCGCUUUUGCGUCACUGAUGGAUGGACCCGCGGUGCAUUAGCUAGUUGGUGAGGUAACGGCUCACCAAGGCAACGAUGCAUAGCCGACCUGAGAGGGUGAUCGGCCACACUGGGACUGAGACACGGCCCAGACUCCUACGGGAGGCAGCAGUAGGGAAUCUUCGGCAAUGGACGAAAGUCUGACCGAGCAACGCCGCGUGAGUGAAGAAGGUUUUCGGAUCGUAAAACUCUGUUGUUAGAGAAGAACAAGGAUGAGAGUAAAAUGUUCAUCCCUUGACGGUAUCUAACCAGAAAGCCACGGCUAACUACGUGCCAGCAGCCGCGGUAAUACGUAGGUGGCAAGCGUUGUCCGGAUUUAUUGGGCGUAAAGCGAGCGCAGGCGGUUUCUUAAGUCUGAUGUGAAAGCCCCCGGCUCAACCGGGGAGGGUCAUUGGAAACUGGGAGACUUGAGUGCAGAAGAGGAGAGUGGAAUUCCAUGUGUAGCGGUGAAAUGCGUAGAUAUAUGGAGGAACACCAGUGGCGAAGGCGGCUCUCUGGUCUGUAACUGACGCUGAGGCUCGAAAGCGUGGGGAGCGAACAGGAUUAGAUACCCUGGUAGUCCACGCCGUAAACGAUGAGUGCUAAGUGUUGGAGGGUUCCGCCCUUCAGUGCUGCAGCAAACGCAUUAAGCACUCCGCCUGGAGACGCCGACCUUGU